rnacentral:rRNA from 1 species
AAUAUUGCACAAUGUGCGAAAGCCUGAUGCAGCAACGCCGCGUGAUCGAUUAAGGCUUACGAGUCGUAAAGCUCUUUCCUAAGGGAAGAUAAUGACGGUACCUUAGGAGGAAGCCCCUGCUAACUCCGUGCCAGCAGCCGCGGUAAUACGUAGGGGGCAAGCGUUAUCCGGAAUCAUUGGGCGCAAAGGGUUCGUAGGCUGCCCUAUAGGUCAGAGGUCAAAGGCUACGGCUCAACCGUAGUAAGCCUUUGAAACUGUAGGGCUUGAGUGCAGGAGAGGAGAGUGGAAUUCCUAGUGUAGCGGUGAAAUGCGUAGAUAUUAGGAGGAACACCAGUGGCGAAGGCGACUCUCUGGACUGCAACUGACGCUGAGGCACGAAAGCGUGGGGAGCGAACAGG